AGUCAGAAAGAGCAGAACUGUACGAGGAACGUUUCAGCGCUUUAGCGCCGCCUGUGGCUGUGGAGAGUGAUGCAGCGGUGAUGUCAUAGUAAGCUGCGAGGCCAACCCUCGAAAGUCAGAAAUCGAAAGUCAGAAGUGCGCCGUUAGAAAGAGAGAAGAAAGCGGAGUGAAGAAGAUCUCGAGCGCUUCUUCUUUAAAGACAAAUUGCUUUGGUUUGAUGUGUUUCCUCAGUACACACGUCCGUCAUCAGGGAGUGGAGCUGAGACUGGAGCUCCAGGAAAACACUGUGGAGAGAAACUGACCGACAGCGCCAUCUGCUGGGUGGAACAGGAAGUUGCUCAGCUG
ensembl:lncRNA